rnacentral:lncRNA from 1 species
GAGGCCCUGCACCGCCGCGGGCUGCGGCUGCAGCUGCUGGGCGGGCGCCGGCGGCUCCUGGUUCCGAUGGCUCAGGUCUUCCUCCGGGCCGGCGCGGACCCCGGCCGGGGCCCAGAGCAACUGAAGCAGCAAGAGCACGAGCAGCCUUCGCGUCGGCGCCCGGCCGCUCCCCCGGGCCGCGGCCGCCAUCCCGCCCGCCCAGCCGGCACCGCGCUGCGGCAGGAAGAAGUGCAGGCGAAGGGAAGCGUCGAGCCCGGCGUGCCGGCAGGCGCCUCCGUCAGGCCUGGCUGCCGCUCAGGGGGCAGCCCUGCAGCACGCGGGACGCGGGGACCGGACCGGGACGGACCGGCGGCGGGAGCUCCGGAGCAGCUGGGCAGCAGAAGCCACACACUCCUCCAACUGCCUCCGCGGCCCAACUCCUCCGGCCCGCCCCCUGGCCAACACGACCUCCCAUUGGCCCGACGUCAGCCCGGCGUCGUGACGUUUCCGGCAGGUUGAGGUGCGGCUCGCUCACUGGUCCUAUUGGACCCGGCGCGCCGGGCCAGGUAGCUGGAGCUGCUUGAUGGACUCUCCCUGCGUCCUCUCGGGUCCCACCAGAGACCCCCUUAUUGGCCCUGGAGAGGUCAGGCUGCCAGGCUCCUACCAGUACUUCCUCAAGAGCCUUAGGUCUUUAAGGCCUAAGCCGCCGCCACCUCCACUUCUAUUAAAUGUCAAGUGAGUCCCAGCCCCGCUACCUACGUGGCAGGAACUGCCACACCUUUAAGUUACGAUCCACCCACCCUCACCACGUCCCUGGACCGCCUACACAGAAUGUUCUUUGGGGGUCCAUAUGCUGGGGUUUUUUGAAGGUUCUGAAGUAAGAUUCGGAAGUAAAAGAUGAGAACG